AACGAACGCUGGCGGCAGGCCUAACACAUGCAAGUCGAACGCAUCGCAAGAUGAGUGGCAGACGGGUGAGUAACGCGUGGGAACCUUCCCAAUGGUACGGAAUAGCUCAGGGAAACUUGGGGUAAUACCGUAUAAGCCCGAAAGGGGGAAGAUUUAUCGCCAUUGGAUGGGCCCGCGUAGGAUUAGCUAGUUGGUGAGGUAAUGGCUCACCAAGGCGACGAUCCUUAGCUGGUCUGAGAGGAUGAUCAGCCACACUGGGACUGAGACACGGCCCAGACUCCUACGGGAGGCAGCAGUGGGGAAUAUUGGACAAUGGGCGCAAGCCUGAUCCAGCCAUGCCGCGUGAGUGACGAAGGCCUUAGGGUUGUAAAGCUCUUUUGGCGGGGACGAUAAUGACGGUACCCGCAGAAUAAGCCCGGCUAACUUCGUG
rnacentral:rRNA from 1 species